UACGUAGGUGGCAAGCGUUGUCCGGAUUUACUGGGCGUAAAGGAUGCGUAGGCGGACAUUUAAGUCAGAUGUGAAAUACCCGAGCUUAACUUGGGUGCUGCAUUUGAAACUGGGUGUCUAGAGUGCAGGAGAGGUAAGUGGAAUUCCUAGUGUAGCGGUGAAAAUGCGUAGAUAUUAGGAAGAACACCAGUGGCGAAGGCGGCUCACUGGUCCGGUACUGACGCGUGAGGUGACGAAAGCGUGGGGAGCAAACAGG
rnacentral:rRNA from 1 species